AGCCUGCGGUUUAAUUGGACUCAACGCCGGGCAGCUCACCGGAUAAGACAGCUGGAUGAUAGCCGGGCUGAAGACUCUGCUUGACUAGCUGAGAGGAGGUGCAUGGCCGUCGUCAGUUCGUACUGUGAAGCAUCCUGUUAAGUCAGGCAACGAGCGAGACCCACGCCAACAGUUGCCAGCAUGUCCUCCGGGAUGAUGGGGACACUGUUGGGACCGCCUCUGCUAAAGAGGAGGAAGGAAUGGGCAACGGUAGGUCAGCAUGCCCCGAAUUAUCCGGGCCUACACGCGGGCUACAAUGGUCAGGACAAUGGGUAUCGACACCGAGAGGUGGAGGCAAUCUCCUAAACCUGUCCUUAGUUCGGAUUGUGGGCUGCAACUCGCCCACAUGAAGCUGGAAUCCGUAGUAAUCGCGUUUCAAAAUAGCGCGGUGAAUAUGUCCCUGCUCCUU
rnacentral:rRNA from 1 species